rnacentral:misc_RNA from 1 species
GAUGAAGAACGUAGCGAAAUGCGAUAAGUAAUGUGAAUUGCAGAAUUCAGUGAAUCAUCGAAUCUUUGAACGCACCUUGCGCCCUUUGGCCAUUCCGAAGGGCAUGCCUGUUUGAGUAUCAUGAACACCUCAACUCUUUAUGGUUUUCCAUGAUGAGCUUGGACUUUGGGGGUUUUGCUGGCCUAUGGUCGGCUCCUCUAAAAUAAAUCAGCUUACCGGUGUUUGGUGGGUAUCAUGGGUGUGACAACUAUCUACGCUUGUGGUUUUUCCACCAGGUAACCUUCGACAGCGGAGGUUCACUGGAGCUCAUAGAUGUCUCUCCUCAGCGAGGACAGCCCUUUGAAUGUUUGAUCUCAAAUCAGGUAGGACUACCCGCUGAACUUAAGCAUAUCAAUAAGCGGAGGA